rnacentral:lncRNA from 1 species
GGAGGAUGUGGAGAGAAAAUUCAGGAGGGAUUUUUAGGAUAUGAGUGUAGGCCUGAAGCUGGGACAGCACAUCCAGUCUGGAAGGGAAUGGUUUGCUUAGUGCCCAUUUUCUCAUUUCUUCUGUUGACUUAAACUCCUUGUGAAAGGCUCAGCUUCCAUAAACUCAAUUCAGUUGAAAGAUUUUGAGCAGGAAGAGGCUUCUGAGGCUACUUAGUGCAACCCUUUCAUUUCAUAGAUGAGGAAGCUGAGGACUGGAAUGAAAGAUUUAUCAAGGGUCAUCUGCUCAUUUGGGAAUCUGACAAAAAAAGACUCGAUUGGUUUAUCCUUGUGAUUUCCUCGGACUCCGGCUGAGUGAAGAUGGAUGGUGGCAUUGGGAACUGGUUCUUCCUGGACUUUUCCCACCCCUCCAGCCCCCAGUCAUGGGGAGGAGGGAGAGCAGUCGGCCAAUCUAGCAGUAAAUUGCAUCUUUUCAAGUAUCGGGGUGAGCAGCGAGGAUUUUCCUUUGGUGUUCUUCAUCUCUAAGAAAAACAGGAACAAAGCCCAGGAGGCCGGAGACAGACUGAGUUAGGCUCCAGAAUGCUGAAUGUGAAGUCCUAGGAUCCAGAUUCUGAUUCUGGCCGGCCCGGACCCUUCUUCGCCACAGGGCCACAGGCCAUCGCCCCGAUGCAUUUGGAAUCAGAGACCCGGAUUCGAAUCUCAAGUCUGAAAGGGACCAUGGGCCUGUGGGCAGGAGCUUCGCCUCUCACCUUCUCCUCUCCAAAAAGAAACUUUCCUCAGUAACACAAUAGAAAGUUAGAGUAAGUGACCUGGACGGGCCUUUUUACAAUGAAGUCUCAGGACCCUGUCACCCGGAUCACUGGUCAGGGCCUGCCCAACUCAGGCUUCGCUAGAAAGCUUUAUAAUGAUUUUACUGACAGUUUUAUGAUCUGAUUCUGCUUUUAUAUAAUUCCAGGGAUCAUUUAAAUGUCUACAGUGGGCACUGCUACUUUCUAUGUCCUUAUUGUUCUAAUCAUAUUUUUUUAAUUUACUCAGAACCACAACUAGGGGCAGACAACUGGGUCUUUGUCCCAGAGCACUGAAAUUUAAAGGGGUUGACAGGACUUGUAAUUCUGUAGCAGCACAGAAACAACCGAGAUUAGCACCUGUUUGGCAAGAAUAAGAUUAUUUUCUUGUCAGGGAGUUACCUACACCAAUGAAAUCACCAGUCUGGGCCCUAUGCCCCUAAUUUAUUCAAAUGAAAAAAUCAAAUGCCUCCUAUACGCCAGAAGAACGCCUCUAAAACCCCAUCCCCCACUCUUUUCCCCUUCUUCAUAACUUGUGACCCUUGUAGCAGCAGCCUCACAAUCAACCAAUCACAAACGGGCAUUUAUCAAAUGCCUACUGUGUGUUGCGAGGAUAAAAAUACUGUGUAAAAUUAAAC